UGAGGGAUGAAGGCCUUCGGGUUGUAAACCUCUGUCACCUGGGAAGAAUGGCAGGCAGUUAAUAGCUGGCCUGUUUGACGUUACCAGGGGAGGAAGCACCGGCUAAAUACGUGCCAGCAGCCGCGCUAUUACGAAUGGUGCAAAGUUGUUCGGAAUCACUGGGCUUAAAGAGCACGUAGGCGGUUCAGUAAGUCUGAUGUGAAAUCCCCCGGCUCAACCGGGGAACUGCAUCGCAUACUGCGUGGCUCGAGCUUGGGAGGGGAGAGUGGUAACUCCUGGUGGAGCGGUGGAAUGCGUAGAUAUCAGGAGGAACGCCAGAGGUGAAGACGACUCUCUGGCCUGCUGACUCCUGACGCUGGGUGCGAAAGCUAGGGUAGCGAACGGGAUUAGAUACCCCGGUAGUCCUAGCCGUAAACGAUGGGCACUAAGUAGAGGGGUUUUG
rnacentral:rRNA from 1 species